rnacentral:rRNA from 1 species
UACGUAGGGUGCGAGCGUUGUCCGGAAUUACUGGGCGUAAAGAGCUCGUAGGUGGUUUUGUCGCGUUGUUCGUGAAAACUCACAGCUUAACUGUGGGCGUGCGGGCGAUACGGGCAGACUGGAGUACUGCAGGGGAGACUGGAAUUCUGGUGUAGCGGUGGAAUGCGCAGAUAUCAGGAGGAACACCGGUGGCGAAGGCGGGGUCUCUGGGCAAGGUAACUGACGCUGAGGAGCGAAAGCGUGGGGAGCGAACAGGA